UGAGAGGAGAGCCCAAAACUCGGCUUUUUAGGUUUUCACUUAACAGCCGUCACACCUCUUUCUCUCUCAUCAGUCCCUCACUCCCUCUCUCUCUCCUCUCCUCCCCUCUCCGUCAUUCACCUCUUCUCUUUCUUUUCAAACUCAGGCCCUCUCAUUUCGAGGAGCAACGAGAAGACCUUGAGCAGCGAUUGCGUUCAUCUUGAGACCGGCGGCUUCAUACAUUAACUCCCAAGCGGCGUCGGUUUUGGGCGGAGGUGUAACCGGCGAUGACGAACAACCAAGCCCGUAGGCUUCUUCCUCUUUAGAUCUAAGUCGUAGAUCUAAGUCGUUGAACGAACCGAUGCUAGAUUUCCAUUGCAAAUAAGGAACUAUAAAGUGAUUUUACAAAAGCAUAGAGGUAUAAAGUGACCAGAAACUUUCAAAGUCCAGUGACUCCAGUCUGACAGAUGAUCAGAAUAAAAUGGCAAUGUCGUGGACUGGUGUAGGUAGCAAUCCUAUUGAUGUUACGGAUUCAUGUUGGGAGAUGUAUGUCAUUGUUCAGAAGAUAGCUGACCUAGAGGGAGACCAGAGUAGAUUGCUAUAAACAGCUCUAGAUAUGAGCAAGAUACAGUUUAACAAGGAUGUUGGGCAAGCAAUGCGGCAAAGCUAGUCAAGAGUUUUGGAGAGCUUAGCAUUUACAUUAUGGCUAGACUAGACAUUUAUUAUUUUAGGUAGUCUUAUGUAAACUUGUUUAAUUAUUAUUACAAUGAUUUGUUUUUGCUUUGUUUUACUUUUAGUUAUUAGGAAAUAAUUAAAGCAGCUUUUCUUGAUUGUAUAUUAUUUGGUAAUUAUUAA